UACAUACAGACACGCGUGUGUAGUCAAUCAAUUUUCACAAUCUCAAACCACUAAACACUUGUAUCUGGGUGUAAUCUUGCGUGUCUGGGUGUAAGAUUUGGCUUUAAUUAUUUGCUUAAGGUAGCGUUCCAUGUAUUUUAGUUCAAUGUGUGAUCUACAACGUCGAACGACGGCAUCAAGCGAAACUAUCCGUAGCAUCAUAGAAUACCAUCCAAAUGACAUCAUCCACGAAAUCAAGUGACAUCAUCCACGACAUUAUUUACAACAUCAAGUGACAUUAUUUACAACAUGAAGUAACAUCAUUUACAACAAAAGGUGAAAUCAUUUAAGUGACAUCAUCUACGAUCCUAAUAACGCUUGUUGACAUAAAAGAGAGGAAGCCGAAAAUGUUCUCAAAAGAUUUAAAGGUAAACCAUGAAAUCUAGCGGGUUGUGAACCAGUCAACCGAUCCAAUAUACUUGCCACUUUCGAAAGCAUCCAUUGGUCCCUCUCAAAGAAAAACUACGCAAUAAAGAAGAUCAUCUAAAGAAUGAAUUAGCUCACAUGGCACAAAGUUACAUCUCAUCAUACCAACGAAUUCCUUCAGAUCUGAAGAAACAUCACGUGCUUUUAGGACUACGGAACAACAAUGACGUAAUGCUUCUUAAACCGAAUAAAGGUAAUGGAAUAGUAAUAAUGGACAAACAAAUUUAUAAGAGCGCCCGCUACUUAAUUAUUAAUGAUACCACAAAAUUCAAACCUUUAAGUAACGAUGUUACAUUGCUAAGAGAAUGGAAGCUUCAGAGAUUUUUACUUAAGUAAACGUAAACAACAAGGCUUGACCCUGACAAAUUCUCUUCCACUUUUAAAAUUAAAGAAGCCUUGCAUAUGAAUAAGCUCAAACCUGAACUCAAUAAGCAGGUUCACAUUGUUAACACCUUUCUUAGUUUGUAAAUGUAUAUUCUAUUCAAUGUUCUGUCGCUUCACGUAUCAUCCGCUUUUGACAUAUGAAUUACUUUUAAAUAAUUGUAACUCUACACUUAUCUCUAUUGUCUGUAAAUAACUUAUCAAAGUUCAUAUAUAGUAUACAACAUUUAUGGAACAAAGCUCAUUUAAUUUGUUCACACUGACGAUGGCAUAAGAUUGCCGAAACGAGUUUGCAAUAAAAAAGUUUGUUUUAUA